GACGAACGCUGGCGGCGUGCCUAAUACAUGCAAGUUGAGCGCUGAAGGUUGGUACUUGUACCAACUGGAUGAGCAGCGAACGGGUGAGUAACGCGUGGGGAAUCUGCCUUUGAGCGGGGGACAACAUUUGGAAACGAAUGCUAAUACCGCAUAAAAACUUUAAACACAAGUUUUAAGUUUGAAAGAUGCAAUUGCAUCACUCAAAGAUGAUCCCGCGUUGUAUUAGCUAGUUGGUGAGGUAAAGGCCAACCAAGGCGAUGAUACAUAGCCGACCUGAGAGGGUGAUCGGCCACAUUGGGACUGAGACACGGCCCAAACUCCUACGGGAGGCAGCAGUAGGGAAUCUUCGGCAAUGGACGAAAGUCUGACCGAGCGACGCCGCGUGAGUGAAGAAGGGUUUCGGAUCGUAAAACUCUGUUGGUAGAGAAGAACGUUGGUGAGAGUGGAAAGCUCAUCAAGUGACGGUAACUACCCAGAAAGGGACGGCUAACUACGUG
rnacentral:rRNA from 1 species